rnacentral:rRNA from 1 species
AUUGAACGCUGGCGGCAGGCCUAACACAUGCAAGUCGAGCGGAUGAAGGGAGCUUGCUCCUGGAUUCAGCGGCGGACGGGUGAGUAAUGCCUAGGAAUCUGCCUGGUAGUGGGGGAUAACGUCCGGAAACGGGCGCUAAUACCGCAUACGUCCUGAGGGAGAAAGUGGGGGAUCUUCGGACCUCACGCUAUCAGAUGAGCCUAGGUCGGAUUAGCUAGUUGGUGGGGUAAAGGCCUACCAAGGCGACGAUCCGUAACUGGUCUGAGAGGAUGAUCAGUCACACUGGAACUGAGACACGGUCCAGACUCCUACGGGAGGCAGCAGUGGGGAAUAUUGGACAAAGGGCGAAAGCCUAAUCCAGCCAUGCCGCGUGUGUGAAGAAGGUCUUCGGAUUGUAAAGCACUUUAAGUUGGGAGGAAGGGCAGUAAGUUAAUACCUUGCUGUUUUGACGUUACCAACAGAAUAAGCACCGGCUAACUUCGUG